rnacentral:rRNA from 1 species
CCUACGGGGGGCAGCAGUCGAGAAUCAUUCACAAUGGGGGAAACCCUGAUGGUGCGACGCCGCGUGGGGGAAUGAAGGUCUUCGGAUUGUAAACCCCUGUCAUGUGGGAGCAAAUUAAAAAGAUAGUACCACAAGAGGAAGAGACGGCUAACUCUGUGCCAGCAGCCGCGGUAAUACAGAGGUCUCAAGCGUUGUUCGGAAUCACUGGGCGUAAAGCGUGUGUAGGCUGUUUCGUAAGUCGUGUGUGAAAGGCGCGGGCUCAACCCGCGGACGGCACAUGAUACUGCGAGACUAGAGUAGUGGAGGGGGAACCGGAAUUCGCGGUGUAGCAGUGAAAUGCGUAGAUAUCGAGAGGAACACUCGUGGCGAAGGCGGGUUCCUGGACAUUAACUGACGCUGAGGCACGAAGGCCAGGGGAGCGAAAGGGAUUAGAUACCCCAGUAGUC